GAUGUGAUGGCCUAGUGGGUAAGGCACGGGCCUGAGAGCCAGAGGACAUGGGUUCAAAUCCCAGCUCCACCA
rnacentral:tRNA from 1 species